GGAAGAGAGUUUCAUGGUGGAACGUGGGUUGGUGUACUGUUGUUAGGGCUCCAGAUAGAAUUGGGGUUUUAUCUAAACAGCGGCCACCGGGGAGGAAAGGAAGAAAGCAGCACAGAGCCAAGUUUGAAGUCCUGGAAGAGAAUCUCCUGAGACAUUGGCUGAGGAACAUAGAAAGUUACUUGUGGCAGAAUCUUUCUGGAAUUUUUCCAUUCUGGGAUACUCUGAGCCCAUUUUGUCACAGGCCAUCAAGACUUGAUGAAUGAAUAUCAUAUUGGUUAAUUCCUG
rnacentral:lncRNA from 1 species